GGAUGAACGCUAGCUACAGGCUUAACACAUGCAAGUCGAGGGGAAACGACAUCGAAAGCUUGCUUUUGAUGGGCGUCGACCGGCGCACGGGUGAGUAACGCGUAUCCAACCUGCCCAUCACUUGGGGAUAACCUUGCGAAAGUAAGACUAAUACCCAAUGAUAUCUCUAGAAGACAUCUGAAAGAGAUUAAAGAUUUAUCGGUGAUGGAUGGGGAUGCGUCUGAUUAGCUUGUUGGCGGGGUAACGGCCCACCAAGGCAACGAUCAGUAGGGGUUCUGAGAGGAAGGUCCCCCACAUUGGAACUGAGACACGGUCCAAACUCCUACGGGAGGCAGCAGUGAGGAAUAUUGGUCAAUGGGCGAGAGCCUGAACCAGCCAAGUAGCGUGCAGGAAGACGGCCCUAUGGGUUGUAAACUGCUUUUAUAAGGGAAUAAAGUGAGAGUCGUGACUCUUUUUGUAUGUACCUUAUGAAUAAGGACCGGCUAAUUCCGUG
rnacentral:rRNA from 1 species